rnacentral:rRNA from 1 species
GAACCGGCGAGUUACGAUUUGAUGCAAGGUUAAGCAGUAAAUGUGGAGCCGUAGCGAAAGCGAGUCUGAAUAGGGCGUUUAGUAUUUGGUCGUAGACCCGAAACCAGGUGAUCUACCCUUGGUCAGGUUGAAGUUCAGGUAACACUGAAUGGAGGACCGAACCGACUUACGUUGAAAAGUGAGCGGAUGAACUGAGGGUAGCGGAGAAAUUCCAAUCGAACCUGGAGAUAGCUGGUUCUCUCCGAAAUAGCUUUAGGGCUAGCCUCAAGUGAUGAUUAUUGGAGGUAGAGCACUGUUUGGACGAGGGGCCCCUCUCGGGUUACCGAAUUCAGACAAACUCCGAAUGCCAAUUAAUUUAACUUGGGAGUCAGAACAUGGGUGAUAAGGUCCGUGUUCGAAAGGGAAACAGCCCAGACCACCAGCUAAGGUCCCAAAAUAUAUGUUAAGUGGAAAAGGAUGUGGCGUUGCCCAGACAACUAGGAUGUUGGCUUAGAAGCAGCCAUCAUUUAAAGAGUGCGUAAUAGCUCACUAGUCGAGUGACACUGCGCCGA